GGUGGAUGUAGCUCAGUGGUAGAGCACUGGAUUGUGGCUCCAGUUGUCGGGGGUUCAAUUCCCCUCAUCCACCCCCA
rnacentral:tRNA from 1 species